ensembl:lncRNA JUN-DT JUN divergent transcript
UCACCCUACAGUGACUGCUCUUUUUCCCUCCUGCCACAGUCCAGGGUAGGAGAUACUUCUCCAGGCUCUCACUUAUGGGGGCUUUCCUGCUGGCUACAUCACUGAAAUGGAAUCUCCUAGUGGCCCUUCUCCCUCUACAGCUCUGGUGUUACACUGAAAAACUAGAAGUUUCAAAACAGACAAGGGAAAAAGAGAAACAUCAGAAAGUCUGAUUAAAGUAGAAGCAUCAUAUUUCUAUCAACGUAUCCACUGUGCUUGGCAUUAUAGUAUACAUAGCCUUGGAAUCAGAAGACCAAGAACAUACAAGAGAACAUAGCCUUGGAAUCAGAAGACCAAGAAACAAUUUAACUCUGCCCCUCUAGAGCUCUGAGAACUUGGGCAAGCCUUUUACCCUCUGUGAGUUUCAGUUUCCUCAUUUAUUUAAUUGAAAUAAUAAUACAGAUCACCUGAAAUGUAAUGAAAAUUAAACAUCCUUAUGUAGGUGAAACCAACUGGCAGCAUGCCUGGAAUAUAGUGAGUGCUCAUUCGGUCUCUUGUAUUUUCUUUCUAUACCCUACUUCUGUUCCCUUGGAUUCAUAUACCUGAAUUGGAAACACCCAAAGUCAAAAAGAAUAAGAAAAAUCUUUAGAAAUGUAGCAUAUUACCAAGAUCUGCAAAUUUCUGCCCAGAGCAGAUGGUUCUAAUAAAGAAAGUCGGAUCUUAUGUUGAGUUCUUUUCUGUCCAAGAAUAGAAGACCUUCCCUCUUCUCCAGUAGUGAAGAAUAGGAUUCAUCAGCCUUGGGGGCAAAGUUAAAAACUUGCUCUAGAAAGUGGCCUGGAUAGUCAGAAACUGCUUAGACUCACUCCAUCUGUUCUAUACACAUACACACACCUUUGUUUGUCAGUAAAAUAUUCAAUGAGACUUGAUAGUCCAAUCCUUUGAAACCAGAAUAAUAUUUGAAAUUUUGAUGAUUUUAUCUAACUGCUAAUAUCACUUGCAGGUCAUCAGUGUUUUACAUCCAACAAACUAAUGGUCAUUUGCUGCUUUAUAAAGAGCCGAUAUAAUUUUGUCUUCCUUGUUAUUAAAGGAUCAAGCAAGGGUGUUUCUGUACCAGUUCAACUUUCCUUAUUUGCUUAUUAGUCAGUAAUAUUCAAGAAAAUCCUAGUUUUAAAAAAUGUCAUUACAUGUUAAACUGUGGAAAGAGUCACCAUCAUUUGAAUAAAUCUUGAGUAAGCCCA